rnacentral:rRNA from 1 species
GACGAACGCUGGCGGCGUGCUUAACACAUGCAAGUCGAGCGGUAAGGCCCUUUCGGGGGUACACGAGCGGCGAACGGGUGAGUAACACGUGGGUGACCUGCCCUCAGCUCUGGGAUAAGCCUGGGAAACCGGGUCUAAUACUGGAUAUGACUCCAUGACGCAUGUUGUGGGGUGGAAAGCCUUGUGCGGCUGAGGAUGGGCCCGCGGCCUAUCAGCUUGUUGGUGGGGUGAUGGCCUACCAAGGCGACGACGGGUAGCCGGCCUGAGAGGGCGACCGGCCACACUGGGACUGAGACACGGCCCAGACUCCUACGGGAGGCAGCAGUGGGGAAUCUUGCGCAAUGGGCGAAAGCCU